GACGAACCGAGCGAACGUUAUUCGGAAUCACUGGGCUUAAAGGGCGCGUAGGCGGGCUGUCAAGUCUGGGGUGAAAUCCCACGGCUCAACCGUGGAACUGCCUUAGAUACUGACGGCCUCGAGGAAGGUAGGGGCAUGCGGAACUGUAGGUGGAGCGGUGAAAUGCGUUGAUAUCUACAGGAACUCCGGUGGCGAAAGCGGCGUGCUGGACCUUUUCUGACGCUGAGGCGCGAAAGCUAGGGGAGCAAACGGG
rnacentral:rRNA from 1 species